GCUGAUGUAGCUCAGUUGGUAGAGCAACUGAUUCGUAAUCAGUAGGUCGGGUGUUCGAU
rnacentral:tRNA from 1 species